AGCGAACGCUAGCGGCGGGCCUAACACAUGCAAGUCGAACGAGAAUGUAGACUUCGGUCUACUAGUAAAGUGGCGGACGGGUGCGUAACACGUGGGUAAUCUACCUUCCGGCGGGGGACAACAGUGCGAAAGGAUUGCCAAUACCGCGUACGUCAGCGGCGCCUACGGGCGCUGUUUGGAAAUAUGGCCUCUCCUUGGGAGCUGUCACCGGAAGAUUAGCCCGGGUCCCAUCAGCUAGUUGGUGAGGUAAUGGCUCACCAAGGCAAAGACGGGUAGCUGGUCUGAGAGGAUGAUCAGCCACACUGGAACUGCGACACGGCCCAGACUCCUACGGGAGGCAGCAGUGGGGAAUAUUGGGCAAUGGGCGAAAGCCUGACCCAGCCACGCCGCGUGAGUGAUGAAGGCCUUCGGGUCGUAAAGCUCUGUGGGGAGGGACGAACAAAUCUGGGGCUAAUCACCCGGAUCCUGACGGUACCUCCUUAGCAAGCACCGGCUAACCCUGUGCCAGCAGCCGCCGUAACAC
rnacentral:rRNA from 1 species